GUGGAUGGAUGGAAAGGUGUGUAUGUUGACUGUUGGUUCCCACAGGUGAGAGGUUAGAAGGCCUCGUUGACUGUUGGUUCCCACAGGUGAGAGGUUAGAAGGCCUCCAUUGUAGUUAUGGUAAUGCCUGUGUCUGACUCAGUGUUUCUGGGUAAUUUACUAAAUGUAACUAUAAAAAUAUACCACUUUUUUUUUUUUUACUUUGUGAAACUGGAACUUUCCUUUUUGUUUAUUUUUGGUGAUAAUCUUUUGUGCCAUUGGUUCACCUGGAUGCCAACAACCAAUAAAAAACCUGGGAUUUUGAACACUA